GGGAAUAUAGCUUAGUGGUAGAGUGCUUGCCUAGCAUGCAUGAAGUCCUGAGUUCAAUUCCUCAGUACCA
rnacentral:tRNA from 1 species